AAUGCCUCCCACCCCCUCUUUCUACUAAAUACCUAGGGUUUGGCCCUCCUCGCAAUUCCUCAUGCUCCUUUCAUCCCCUCCUAACCUGGCUGGUGGCUAGUCGUGUUCUCACGAGUGCCAGUCUCCACACUACACCUGGAAGAUCUAGUUGCUCUGCCAUUCUGGUCGCUUGCCUCGACCCCACCCCCUUUGGACAAUCCCCAUCCUCUCCCAUGGGAUGCUCCCCAAUCUCUUCCUCAAUGGCGUCACCUGCAG
rnacentral:lncRNA from 1 species